rnacentral:tmRNA from 1 species
GGGGAUGAUCGGUUUCGACGUAGGUCAUUGCGUCAGGUGAAGCGGGUCGAGAAUGCAGAGUUAUCUCGUUAACGCCCUCUGCAAACCAAUAGGUGCCAAAUCAAACCGCACCGACUUCGCUCUCGCUGCCUAAGCGACUAGCGUAAGUCCGUUAGCCCGGGGUCGCUUCCGCUCCGGUAGCUAGCGUCAGCUAGGAAGCCACUGCUUGCGAGUCACGUUACGGGGCUCGCAGGGACUUUUACGUAACUGGGCCCGUCAGCGACUUGUCUGUGUGAUCGCUGGGGCCGAGAAAAUCAUUAGCAGACUGCACCCGGAGAAGACCUGACUAAAUGCCAACGGACCCGGGUUCGAUUCCCGGCAUCUCCACAA